UACGGAGGGUGCGAGCGUUAAUCGGAAUUACUGGGCGUAAAGCGUGCGUAGGCGGUUAUUUAAGUCUGCUGUGAAAUCCCCGGGCUCAACCUGGGAAUGGCAGUGGAUACUGGAUAGCUAGAGUGUGAUAGAGGAUGGUGGAAUUCCCGGUGUAGCGGUGAAAUGCGUAGAGAUCGGGAGGAACAUCAGUGGCGAAGGCGGCCAUCUGGAUCAACACUGACGCUGAGGCACGAAAGCGUGGGGAGCAAACAGG
rnacentral:rRNA from 1 species